UGGGGAAUAUUGGACAAUGGGCGCAAGCCUGAUCCAGCCAUGCCGCGUGUGUGAAGAAGGCCUUAUGGUUGUAAAGCACUUUAAGCGAGGAGGAGGCUACUUUAGUUAAUACCUAGAGAUAGUGGACGUUACUCGCAGAAUAAGCACCGGCUAACUCUGUGCCAGCAGCCGCGGUAAUACAGAGGGUGCAAGCGUUAAUCGGAUUUACUGGGCGUAAAGCGCGCGUAGGCGGCUAAUUAAGUCAAAUGUGAAAUCCCCGAGCUUAACUUGGGAAUUGCAUUCGAUACUGGUUAGCUAGAGUGUGGGAGAGGAUGGUAGAAUUCCAGGUGUAGCGGUGAAGUGCGUAGAGAUCUGGAGGAAUACCGAUGGCGAAGGCAGCCAUCUGGCCUAACACUGACGCUGAGGUGCGAAAGCAUGGGGAGCAAACAGG
rnacentral:rRNA from 1 species